rnacentral:tRNA from 1 species
UCCCUGGUGGUCCAGAGGUUAGGACUCUGCCUUCCAACGCAGUGGGGGUGCGGGUUUGAUCCCUGGUCAGGGAG